rnacentral:rRNA from 1 species
AUCGAACGCUGGCGGCAGGCCUAACACAUGCAAGUCGAACGAGUGGCGGACGGGUGAGUAAUGUCUGGGAAACUGCCCGAUGGAGGGGGAUAACGACUGGAAACGGUAGCUAAUAGCGCAUACCAUCGGAUGUGCCCAGAUGGGAUUAGCUAGUAGGUGGGGUAAUGGCUCACCUAGGCGACGAUCCCUAGCUGGUCUGAGAGGAUGACCAGCCACACUGGAACUGAGACACGGUCCAGACUCCUACGGGAGGCAGCAGUGGGGAAUAUUGCACAAUGGGCGCAAGCCUGAUGCAGCCAUGCCGCGUGUAUGAAGAAGGCCUUCGGGUUGUAAAGUACUGUCAGCGGGGAGGCGUUACUCGCAGAAGAAGCACCGGCUAACUCCGUGCCAGCAGCCGCGGUAAUAC